AUUUCUGCCCUCUCAUGGCAUCACUUGGAGAAACCCCAACCACCCACUUUCUCCUGCCAAUACCUAAGCCACUGCUCACUGCCGGGAAAGUCACCCCAGGAAGACUGGUGCCACCAGAAGGCCUCCCCUGGAGUGGACCCUCGACACCCCAGGUCCCCCAUGUUCCUCCAGGGCCACUCUGCAGUGCUGCUCCCACACCUGGAAGCGAGGGCGACCUGUGUGGGCACAGCUCUUCUGCCUUCUGGAGCCUUCCCUCCAGCCUUAACACUCCCCACCAGCUCUUCCGCCAGGAGGCAGUGAUUUCUCUGAAAUGCAAACGAGACGUAGAAGGAGCCGCGACGGCUGUAACCUAGAUCCGCUCAGCGCAAGUUCGGGAGGUGCCGGCGGUGGGGUCCAAGGACAGCGGCUCCUCCAGCUGGGACCCCCGCGGGGCAGAGGGGAUCCUGGCCCUUCGUCCUGUCCCCGUCGAGGUCCGCGGUGGCCUUGCAGAGUCCCUCCCCGUCCGCGACGGCUCUCCCCUCACCCCAGCCCCCACCCCAUCCACCCUGCGCAGCCGCAGGGCCCCGGCUCCCCCGACUCAGGGUCAAGCAGGAGCCCCACUCCUGAGCCUCAAACCCUGCGCCAGGCAGCUGUCAGCCCACGCCGCCGGGCAGGCAGGCCUGGAGGUCACCCCCUCCCCCCACAUCUGCCCUACGGGACCCCCACCCACCGCUUUCCCCUUUCGGGGUGACGGCCGACCCGGGUACUAGGAGGGGCUACGCAGAAAUGCCCGCCCCGCCCCUGGCCGGAGGCUCCAGGCCCCCUCCCGUCUCCCCAGGGCCGCCGUGCGAUCUGCCCCCUCGGUGACACCUUCCACCUUCCACGCGGCCGCACCAUCUUCUCAAAAAAGUGGAUGGUUCCACAACGUGGAGGGACCAGGAGAGGUGCGCCCCCCUCGCCCGCCCCCUGGGGAGUCAGAGCGUUGCCAGGAGAGGCUCCUCCGGGAACGCGGGCUCGCAAUGGGCGCUGCCGGCUCGGGCUGGGCGCCUGUCUGGACCCUGGACGGCGCCCCUUUCCCUCCCCAACGCGGGUGUUUGGAGUCCCACACGGGCGAGGAACGCGGCGGACCCCGAGACCGGACUUUCUGGCGGAGGGGCGCCCACCCUUUGCGUGCGCUCCUCCCUUCCUCUCACCCCUCUCCACACCAGAGCCGGGGCUGCUGUCUGAGAUCCAGGCCGUGGUUUCUAGAUGGCCACCACCCAGCGCCUGGCGCGGUCGCACAGGUACAAAAAGCACCAGCUGAUCCGUUUGCGGCUGGACCAGCACCCACGCAGGACUCAGGCCAGCACGCGCUUUUGGAAAAGCAAUUCCACCAGAUCUCCUGGCCUUGGGCACACACACCCCUUCCGUUCCGGCAGGCACCAGGGGGGCUCAUGGC